rnacentral:pre_miRNA from 1 species
UGACGUCAUCAGUGACAUCACUGAUGACGUCAUCAGUGAUGAUGACGAUGCUGAUGCCGGUGACGUCAUCAGUGACGUCACUGAUGACGUCAU